rnacentral:lncRNA from 1 species
AGAGCGCGUGUGGCGGCCGAGCACAUGGGCCCGCGGGCCGGGCGGGCUCGGGGCGGCCGGGACGAGGAGGGGCGACGACGAGCUGCGAGCAAAGAUGUGCCCCGGGACCCCCGGCACCUUCCAGUGGAUUUCCUUGCGGAAAGGAUGUUGGCGGUCCCUGUGACCUGUGGAGACACGGCCAGAUCUGCCCUCCAGCCUGAUCUUUUGGCCAGAAGGAGAUUAAAAAGAUGCCCCUCAAGAUGGCUGUGCCUGUCAGCUGCAUGGAGCUUCGUUCAAGUAUUUUCUGAGCCUGAUGGAUUUACAGUGAUCUUCAGUGGUCUGGGGAAUAACGCUGGUGGAACCAUGCACUGGAAUGACACACGCCCGGCACAUUUCAGGAUACUAAAAGUGGUUUUAAGGGAGGCUGUGGCUGAAUGCCUCAUGGAUUCUUACAGCUUGGAUGUCCAUGGGGGACGAAGGACUGCAGCUGGCUGAGAGGGUUGAGAUCUCUGUUUACUUAGAUCUCUGCCAACUUCCUUUGGGUCUCCCUAUGGAAUGUAAGACCCCGACUCUUCCUGGUGAAGCAUCUGAUGCACGUUCCAUCCGGCGCUCAGCUGGGCUUGAGCUGACCAUACUCCCUGGAGCCUUCUCCCGAGGUGCGCGGGUGACCUUGGCACAUACAGCCAUCAUGAUGGUACUUUAAGUGGAGGCUGAAUCAUCUCCCCUUUGAGCUGCUUGGCACGUGGCUCCCUUGGUGUUCCCCUUUUACUGCCAGGACACUGAGAUUUGGAGAGGUAAGUGGCUUACCUGAGGCCAUGUGCUAACAGAGAAGAUGAAGAGAUGAUUGAAACAGGCCUAAGACCAGACCUAAGGGUCUGUACAUUUUCCACAUACUUUCCAUAUCUUUAGAGGCCUGACCAAAGCAGAUCUUUUCCUUUCUUCUAGGUAAGUCCAAAGGCACCUGCCUGCUGGGCCCACUGUUUUCUAACUUUCCUAACUUUCUGAUCCCUUGGAGGUGAUAAUCAAAUAUUCUAGUCUGAGGCAUUGGGAUACAUGGUGCUAGGUUCUGAGACUCUGCGUCAGGCCUGAACCCUGCAUUUUGUGGAGGUGGGUGGGAGAAUGUUCCCCUGGGGAACAUGCCUAGACACGGGGGACAACAGUUGCCCUCAUGGGGAGGUACCUGUUUACUCGCUGUUAUGGGACCGCUUUCACAAAACCACUGCAGGUGAGUGAGUUCCUGCUGAAUAUCAGGCCUGGUGUCUCUAGACUCAUUAUUUCCCCCACCCAACCCCUAUGUUAGUUCAUCUCGAGCCACAUUUUUAUUGCCAUAAUCCAGGCCUGGACAGGCCAAGAUCUUUUAACAAUUUUAAUUACUGAAAAUAAUAACUGCAUUUUUUUUAAAGCCCAACUUUUGGUAGAGUCAGCCCAAAAUACAGUCUUUGUGUUGCCAUCUGGGAACUGGAUUUGGAAUUGUUCUUCCAUGAGACUGCAGAGCAGAACGGCAGGGCCAGAGGUCCCACGAGCUGGUCAGACCCGGUUCUGCUCCUUGCUGGCUGAGUGACCUUGGGCAUU